AAUACAGUGGUACCUCAGGUUACAUACGCUUCAGGUUACAGACUCUGCUAACCCAGAAAUAUUACCUCGGGUUAAGAACUUUGCUUCAGGAUGAGAACAGAAAUCAUGCUCCGGCGGCGCGGCAGCAGUGGGAGGCCCCAUUAGCUAAAGUGGUGCUUCAGGUUAAGAACAAUUUCAGGUUAAGAACGGACCUCCGGAACGAAUUAAGUACUUAACCCGAGGUACCACUGUAGUUCCAAUUUAGAAAACAAAACAGUGCAAUAACAACAAAAAAUAAAUUGUGUACAUUACAAAAAAAGAGAGGGGGAACUUGUUAUUGUAGGUAACCAGACCUUAAUCUAAUAUGGUAUUUAUAAAAAUCAAUUCCAAAUACAGUCAUACCUCGGAAGUCGAACGCCUUGCGACUCAAACGUUUUGGCUCCCGAAUGCCGCAAACCCAGAAGUGAGUGUUCUGGAUUGCGAACGUUCUUUGGAACCUGAACAUCUGAUGCGGCUUCCAUGGGUUCUGAUUGGCUGCAGGAGAUUCCUGCAGCCAAUCGCAAGCCGUGCCUUGGUUCCCGAACAUUUUGGAAGCCGAAUGGACUUCCAGAACGGAUUCCGUUCGACUUCCGAGGUACGACUGUAUCGUUGAAAAUUGUCUAUGGCAAAUCUGCAUUUGUACACAACUUGUUCGUGUGUAGUGAAACAUCUGGGAAGAUACAGGUUUCCCCAGCUGUGCUAUAACCACUCAUUCUUCUCUCCCUCCACCAGUGGAGAGAAAAGUUAAUAGGAACACAGGGAGUUGUCUCAUACAGAGUCAAACCAUUGCUCCAUGUAGCUCAGUGUUAUCUACACAGUGGGUGGGAAAACCUCGAGUUCACAGGCCUAGUUUUGGCUACCAGGCCACCCCUAUUUGGCCUGCGAGGCUGUUUCCCCCAAGCCAAGUCAACUCCCAUCAGCCCCAGUAAGUGCAGCCGAUAGCCAGGCAUGAUGGGAGUUGUAGUUCAGCCAUAUCUAAAUUCCCCACACCUGUUGUACACCCCACACAUAUGUACACCCCACCUUUUCUUACACAGUUCAAGGCGGGUUCCCAAAAGAGCAAAACACAACAAGCAGCAGUAAAAGCCAGCAGUAAAACGGCUUAAAAGCCACUGCGCUAAGGAGCAUAAUAAAACAGAACACAAUGCCAGAGCCAAAACCCAGAAGGAUUGUGUAUAAUUAUGGGUUGGCGAGCAAUAAAAAACCCAGCAGCCAAUGCCCUUUCUAAAUAGGGAGGCCUUAAUAUUGUGGGGUAAAGAGAGAAGGCAAGGCAACUUUGCCUAGGAAUUGAGAUUGAAAGAGUGGCUGCCGGAACAGCAGAGGCCCUCCUCUCAUUUGUGGCACCUUGUUUGUUAAUUUCUGUGGAAAUUUAUUCACAGCUGCGUAAUAAAUGUACAGAAACAAGGGGAAAGUACAGCGGUACCUCAGGUUAAGUACUUAAUUCGUUCCAGAGGUCUGUUCUUAACCUGAAACUGUUCUUAACCUGAAGCACCACUUUAGCUAAUGGGGCCUCCUGCUGCUGCCACGCCUCUGGAGCACAAUUUCUGUUCUCAUCCUGAAGCAAAGUUCUCAACCCGAGGUAAUAUUUCUGGGUUAGGGGAGUCUGUAACCUGAAGCGUAUGUAACCUGAGGUACCACUGUACAUUUAAAACGGUUUCAGGAUUCUGCAUUUAUAGACAGCGAAAGGGAAGCAGAGCAACGAAUGUGCAUGUUAUCUUUGGACAGUAGGCUGGUUUCUCUGCAAAACCCCACUCUGUCUUGCAUCCAGGCUGUCAUGAUCAGAAUUCAAGGACUAUUAGAAGUCCUAAACAUCUUCCAAAGCAAUAAUGCCCACUCACAUCACAAAGAACUCAUAACCCAUCUACUCUCAGCAGCCAGAAACAUCAUAGCCAAACACUGAAGAGACCUGUCAGGAGUAAGCAUGGACCAGUGGUACCAAAUAGUAUGGGAAACAGCCUUACGAGGAAAAUUAACCAAUAAACUGAAACUGACACAGGGACAAAUUGAAGAAGAUGCCUUCACCCUGGUAUGGCUCCCCUUUAUCACAUACACAGCCCAACAAGACAAUGACAAGAAUCCGCCUGCAGCAUACGAAUCAAUAUGGCUGACCUGAUUCAAAAACACCCCACACUCUCACACACAAAAAAAGUUCACCACAGCCAACCACAACCAACCAACCAACCAACCCCACCCUAGGCCAACCCCAACCUCUCUCACCACCAAAGGAGCACAAGCGAUUAGCUUCCCUUUUUUAAAAGGGAAAUUCUCUUAUUCCAAAUAGUAUUCCUCACAAGAAAAGGGAAAAGUUGACAGCUAUGGAACCCGCGCAAGCGAUGCUGACAUAAAACUCCACACAUACAUUAAGUAAAAUAAAAGCAUCGCCAACCGACCCCACCCACCAUCUGGGCCGCCUUACCCAUAGGCGCUAAGGGGUGUGGGGCACCCGGGUGCCGGGUUCUCAGGGGCGCCAGGCCAAGAGUCUGGGGCUGAGAUUUGGAGUCCGGGGAUUGGGAAGAGCCGACGGCCGCUGCCGAGUGGAUCAGAGCCUGUCGGAGCACUGCAGCUCUACUGCUAUGGGCGAGCGAGGCGCUGAGGCAGCCAGCCGGCUCCGCUCUCCUGCGCACCUGGGAUUGGCGGGCCAUUGAGAGGCAUGCCCAGCGCACGCUACUCACACAAGGCACCCGGCUUUGCUCAGUCGCCCCUGCCUCCGCCUUGGGCUCGACCGUUGUUGUGCUGGGCUCUGCUUGCCCACCCGUCCCCAGGCACCCGGCUCUGGCAUUGCUCUGCUGUUGCCACCGCUCUGUCGCUGCAGAGGCGGCCAGCCAGGCCAGCUUUGCUGUGUGCGCCUUGCUGGCCCACCCGUAAAAAAAAGGACGACAACUCUGGGUAACGGGCACCGGGCGGAUCUCUGCACCCUGGCGCCGCAUAUGCUUAAGACAGCCCUGCCCACCAUGGUGCCCUCCACCUCUUUCCCCCUUUUCUUCCUAAUGUAACACUAAUGUCUCAGCAAAUGAAAAUGAGACGUAGAAAAUCUAACUUGAAAAAAGAAGCAUUGCACAUACUUUUGUAAACCAAUAAAUCUUUAAUAAAAAAUAUAUUAAAAAAAGAAGAAUUCAAGGACACAUCCCAGCAGGGCAAACGACUCAGGGGUGGGGUACUGGAAGCAAGGGCAGUGAUGGGCGUGGCCUGCUUAGAGGGGGUGUGGCCUGGGAAGAGUGCCAGGGGCCGGAGAGAAGUGCCUGAAGGGCCGCAUUCAACUCCCAGGCCUGAGGUUACCCACCCUUUUGGGCUUCCCAUAGGCAAUUGGUUCGCCACGGUAAGAACAGGCUGCUGGAGUUGGAAAAUGAUUUAUAAUGAAUUGAAAAAAAUGUUUAAAAUUACUUUUGCAAAAAACAACAAAAAAAAAACCCCAACCAGAGUCCUUUCUGUUGGGGUUAAUCCAGGCCGAAAUUCUCAGGUGUCAGAAAAGGUUAUUUAUGUAUGCAACAACUGCAGCCCGUGUUCUGUUAGCCCCAAAAUGGAAAACGAGUGAGGUCUCAACCAAAGAAGACUUAACAUAUGGAAUAAGAGAACAAGAAGAGGAUAUGUUUAAGGAAGACUGGGAAAUGUUUCUUGAAUAUUUGGGAAAUAACUGUGUUCAGCUGAAAACGCCGGCAGCAUUAAGAUAAAUUCAACAGUGUAAAUAAGUUUUGAUGGAAGUAAUAAUGGAAAACCGAUUGGUAUAGUUUUUGUAAAAUAUGCAGGGAUGUAAGAUAUGUAAAAUGAACCAUGGAAAGAGAAGAAGGGAAGCCACUGAUAUGUUAAGUAUGUAAAAUGUUUAUCGGAAAUUGUAAAACAGAAAUUUAAAUAAAAAUCGUAUUUUUUAAAAAAAGACAACAGGCUACUGGAGUGGAUGGGCCUUUGCAUAUCACAUUGUGUAUAAUAGGAGAAAUUCACAUUAUUACUAUUUUUAUUCAUACCCCACCUUUUUCCGUGACAGGGACUCAAGGUGGUUUACAGAUAAUGCUGAUUAAUUUUCAUGAGGACUAAAAUAAAUGAAUGAACGAAUUACAUACGGAUAUGGAAAUAUGAGAUUUGAGACUGGAAGAAGAAAAUGAGAGCUUUCUCACAUCCCCGGUGACCUGGCCAUGGCCUUUCCCCACCAAGAGACAAGAUGUACUUCUGUUUAAACUGCAGUAAAAUGUAAAGGUAAAGGGACCCCUGGCCAUUAGGUCCAGUCGUGGCCGACUCUGGGGUUGCGGCGCUCAUCUCGCUUUACUGGCCGAGGGAGCUGGCGUACAGCUUCCGGGUCAUGUGGCCAGCAUGACUAAGCUGCUUCUGGCGAACCAGAGCAGUGCACGGAAAUGCCGUUUACCUUCCUGCUGGAGUGGUAUCUAUUUAUCUACUUGCACUUUGACGUGCUUUCGAACUGCUAGGUUGGCAGGAGCUGGGACAGAGCAACAGGAGCUCACCCCGUCACGGGGAUUCGAACUGCCGACCUUCUGAUCGGCAAGUCCUAGGCUCUGUGGUUUAACCCACAGCGCCACCCGCGUCCCUUAAAUUGCAGUAGCCCUCUCUAAAUUUGCAUCGCCAUCCAUGAAUGAGCACCUGCGCACUAGACGCAAACGAGGCAACGGGAUGAUAGCUCGGUCAGUAGAGCACGAGACUCUUUAUCCCGGGGCUGUGAGUUCGAGCCUCAUGUUGGGUGAAAGAUUCCUGCAUUGCAGGGGGCUGGAUCCUUGCGGCCACUUCCAUCUCUACAAUUCUAUGGUUCCAUGGAAUCUGUGUCCCCCACGACAUUCACUUCAGCUCAGCCUAUGAGCAGCUGGACCAGGAAGAGGGCAGGCAUAUUGGUCGGUCCUCGCUUGCGUAGGCUGUUUGCAUCUGGCUCCGACGGUUGGAUCCACAACAGGGGAAGGGGAGGAGGAGGAGGACCUGCUUGGAGCCUCCAUCCCCGCAUCUCUGCACGCUUUGAACUCCAGUCACCCUCUUCCUCUGUAAUUAAAGCUUUAUUUUUAGGCACCCCUUCCUUCUUCUAUUUUAAGCCCAGCAGCCUCCUCGGCACAAGGCAGGGAAGGGAGCAGCGCUGAGCUGAGCCCGCGGUGGGCAGGGAAGGCAGAGCAAACGAAUCUCCGAAAUGGAGAGUGGGCGGUACCAGCAACCGCUGGCAGGGAGCCCCAGGCCACAGUUCGGCCGACAGGACUUUGCUGGGGAGCCACCGCCAAGAUGGAGGGGGUGGGAGGAAGUUGCCCAGGGCUCUUUUCAUCCAGAGAGUGGGCACUGAUGGAGACAUAUCUUCUGUUAUCUUACAACACGACGGAGAGAGAAUUAUAGGAUUGCCACCUUCUUCCGGGUUUCUUUUUUGCUUACUUGGGCCUAGCUUAUUGGCUUUGAAAGAGCAGCCUGACCAAUACCAGGCUGGCAGGGACGCUUUUCCCUGGCAGGACGAUAAGCCACAGUCGAAGUUUCGCUUGCAAUAUUCUGGGGCGUCGGGUUGCUGCUGAAAGCACAGCAGGAAGGUCUGUUAAAAGAAAUUAAUAGGUGGCAACCCUAGGAAAUUGACUGGCACCAAGGGAUGCUGUGCUGGCAGGGUACAUUCAGGCCUAUUGUUGUACCUAGUCUACCUGAGAUGCUCAGCGUGUGAAAAGGUUUGAGCUGGUUGCUCCUGCUCAGCUGCAUGGCUCUCACUAACCCCUCUUGAGUUCCUACACCAAUAAGCUCAGAAAGUUCACCACUAAGCUACGUUUUCUACUGCCUGUGCAACUUUUCUGGUUGAUGUAAUGGAAAAACACAUGAAUCUGACCUUUGGAGUGUUUGUAAGUAAACCACAAUUUUAACUGACCAAAUGUGUGGUCUUUCUCUAUGCAAGGAGAAGUGGGGAACCUUGGAAGGGACUUGGACAUAUUUUAAAGCUUUAACGGCCUAUAUUUGCAUGUUUUACUUUGCCGCAUUUUUUUGGACUUUAAAUCUCUGCUGAGGUUCUCUCACUCACUUGCCCCAAAUUUGGAUCUUGGCAUCCAGGAAUUCUCCUAUCUAGACUUUAUUAUUCUGCACCAACGUUCUCAACGUUCUCAACUGGGUACUUUCUUUGGUGGUUGGACAGGGAGGGGGAUACAACAAGCCUAACGGUCCAAAGAUGGUAGAGGACACAGUGAGAUCUUACGACUGGUGACCUGCUGGCUAGGUACCUUGCUGGGCUGGGCCUGGGGGUAACCCAGGAGCCGCGGUCCAGGUCCAGUCCAGAAUCCAUAGGUUCCGCUAGGAGUCAGUUCGACGGGGUCAAGGCAGGACACAAGGCAGGAAACCAGGCAAGGACAGGUACAGGAUCUCAGGCAGCAAUGUUGCUCCCGCAACCUGGGGCGGGGUCCGACAGUCUUUUAUCUUUGUUGGGGUAACGGCUGGUCCUGAUCCCCCAGCAACUCACCUCCCUGUUUUGCCCGAAGGUGAGCACUCCUCCUGCGAGUACUCAGGUCUCUCCUUCUCUCAGACCUCAGUCUCUGCAGCUCGGGAGAUGUCGGUGGGUUACUAGACCCAGGGGCCACCUCAGCCUCCCCUGACCAAACCAGUAGUGGAGCAGCUGUAAGUGAUGGCCCAGCUGAAGGCAAUGAGACAAUCCCCACAUCUGGAGCCAGGGCAGGCUCAGGCCCCUGACUCGGCCCAGCUGGUGUUUGUUGCAGGGGAACCUGUGCAGACUGGGACUCUUCGGGAUCAGGCCCCAGGCUUGGUUCAGAUGAUGCCUGAGGCAAACCAUCCAGUGCAGACUGGUUCCGACACUGAGCCCGAGUCCCAGGCCAUCACACUUGCUCAGACCUGCACCACCACUCUCUUGGUAAGGUAAUGGCCAACCAUUACCUUAGGCCAAGCCUAGAAUGCUGAACGUGAUUUGAGGCCCAUGUUGACUUCCAUGAUGUGCGAGGAAGGCCAUGACAUAUGUUGAAGAAGGCAAACGAAACAUUGCUCAGGUAGCUUCACAGUCACAUUUCCUCAGACGCCCCACCUCACACUUUCCUGUUGCCAGGUGCUGGAGACGCCACAACAUGUCUGGGCCUGAGAACCCUGAAAGGAGGCAAAGGGGAGACUGCGGUGAGCCGGCUGUGUUGCGUUCUGCCCACCCGCUGGCUCCACACAGACACCACUUGGGCCUUUUCUUUGGGGUUUGCUAAAUCCCCCUCUCCUCCAAACCACCUCGCAGUGGGAGAUAACAGAGGGUUAUGUGCUUAGAAGAGGCUGAGGUGGACAUUUGAGGAUACGUGUGUGUGUGUGUCUGUGUGUCUCGCAGGGGAAAUGUUCUCUAAUAAUGCACCCUACAUCAUUUCUUCCCUCAACAAAAGACAGGCUCGAACCUGCAAUUUGUGGGGACGUAGACUCAGAGACUGAGGGUUGAGGGAAGGGGGAAGAGAUACUUCCACCCCCUUCCUCCAGUGUCUGUCGCCAGAGCCUCAGGGCUACUUCCCUGGGAGGUCUUCAGAUGCGGAUGAUGUCGGAAGAUGAAUGCUUAUGGAGGAAAGGGAGUCGAGGAACAAACACAUUUUCUCCAGGCCAGCUUCACACACUCCCAUGGACAGAUUUUUAGACGUAGACGAUGGUUGCCUAUCCGCACCACACAUUUAAAGCACUCUUAUACCACUUCAGCAGUCAUGGAGAAUCUUGGGAACUGUAGUUUGUUAAGGGUGCUGGGAACUGUAGCUCUGUGAGGGACAAGUUGCCAGGAUUCUUUGGGGGGUAGGGUAUGUCAUGUGAUUUAAAGUGCUUUAAAUAUAUGGUGCGGCUGUGAACUUUUUCUCUGUCUCUCACUACCAUGUUUCUUUCACAGACACCACUCUUGCCUUGAGGGAGAGGGUGGGAAAACAAACCUUCUACCAAAGUGGUGUCUCCCUUCCAGAAGUGACCCCCAGCUGUUUCCUCAGUAACUGUGGAACAUUUACCUGUCGUUUCCCCAAGAAAGAGGGACCUGUCAACUCUGCUGGGGUCAUUAGGCAGCCUUCCAUAGAAUUGUAGAGUCGGAAGGGACCCUUGAGGGUCAUCUAGUCCAACCCCCUGCAAUGCAGGAAUCUCAGCUAAUGCUUCCAUGACAGAUGGCCACCCAACCUCUGCUUAAAAACCUCCAAGGAAGGAGAAUCCGCCACCUCCUGAGGGAGACCGUUCCACUGCCAGACAGCUUUUACCAGGGGUCAGCAAACUUUUUCAGCAGGGGGCCGGUCCACUGUCCCUCAGACCUUGUGGGAGGCAGACUAUAUUUUGAAAAUAAUAAUAAUGAAUGAAUUCCUGUACCCCACGAAUAACCCAGAGAUGCAUUUUAAAUAAAAGCACACAUUCUACUCAUGUAAAAACACGCUGAUUCCUGGACCAUCCGCGGGCCGGAUUUAGAAGGUGAUUGGGCUGGAUCCGGCCCCUGGGCUUUAGGUUGUUUACCGUCAGAAAGCUCUUCCUGAUGGUAGUACUGGCCACUUAAUCCUCUCCUACCCAAUGCCCAAACUUACAACAGUCUAAUAUAGGGUCAAGUUAUAAGCCAGUUAGCACUUAGUAUUGUUACUAGAGCAAGCAUAUGCAUGCCUGUUUAUAAGGUACACUGCCCUGUCCUGUUUGUAAAUGGGAAUCUGCUUUUGCCGCAACUUCUGAAGAUGGCUGGCAGCAGGUUAAGUAUGUGGAUCUGAGGCUGUGCGCAACACAGGAUAUGCUGGCCAACAGGUGGAGAAUUUGCAGAUUGCACAUGUGUGCGCACUGAGAUCCCAUUCCCUCGCAACUCCCCAAAGUGCUGCAACCUUGCCUUGAGCUGUCCUUAACAACAGGGUCUUCCGACCAUCUUUCCACCUAAGGAUCCAUUGUGUACCAUCCAUUCAUUCUAUUUUUCACUUGUUCAUUGCAAGAAUGGGGAGCCUGGACUACAAUUCCCAUCAUCCUUGGCCUUUGGCCCUGCUGGUAGGAAGUGAUGGGAGUUGGAGUCCUCUAACCCCCUGCAAGGGCAACAGGUCCCCCAUCCCUGUCCCCCAUCUAUUUGUGCUUUUAAACCUCUCUGUCUUUCUGCGUAUCUGUUUCUUCUUUCUCUCUUUAUGCCUAUUUAUUUGCUUUCUUUUCCUGUCUAUCAACUCAUUAUUCCUCCUUCACUUGCGUCCAGCCUUGGGAUGCCAUCAAACCCAAACGCACCACUGAGCAAAGUGACUUGAAAGGCAGCUGUUUCUCGCACUGGGUUCUUCCCACUGGUGAUACCUUUGGGUUUCACUGAGUCAUGUUUGUGGUUGAAAUUUGCACCCCCCUACUUUAGCAACCAGCCUGACUCACCCGUUUGGAAGGCAACCACGAAGCAAGGCGAGAGGGAUAUGUAUCUCUGGGAGAUGACUGAUACGCGUCACUCAAAGCAAUCCGAGCUGGCUUGGUUUGUCAGCCCAAAACACAAUAUCUAGAUGUGACUUAGGGUGAGUAUGUCUCCUGCUUUGCAUGGGACACACCUCUGUUUAAAGGCCUCCCCAAUCAAAGCCAGGUUUCAAGAUCAAGAAACCCUCAGCCUUCCCCACGAUCGUGAAAUGGAUUGCAUUGCCAUUUAAACAAUAGGAAUUCUUUCAAGAUUCGCACCUGUGCACAAGCAGUUCGGAUUUUGUGCAAAGUGGCGUCCUCAUUCCACACACACACAUUUUUGGCAACUUAUAAGUGGCCAUCCUAAUGUGACUCCUGCCCUUUGGCCUGGUGUCAGCAGGGAGCCAGCAGUAAAUCACACUGCAAUUUUGGAGUUAACUCUUUAUUAGCAAAAACGCAAUCUGCACAGGAGCGUCGGGCCUAAUGAAAACAGCAACUCAUCUCCAGCAGGUCUUGCCCUCAUGAAGCAGUUGCUGAGAUGGAAAGACCCUGUUUCCCCAGUGCUGCCAAAGUCUCCUCCUCACCAAGGUUUUUCUCAAGCAAUCUGAGACUAGGCCUGCAUGAAGCUACAUAAGUUACCCUCCGCCUUUUUCAUGCCUCUUCUGGUUCUAGGAGACAAGGGGGGAACAGAGCUUGUUGUAGCAGCAGGAGGAGACACCUUUGCCUCUUCAACAGCCUGGCUCAUCUCUGCCUCUUGGCCUCUCUCACCCCACUCUCCUUCUGAUUCUGGACUUCUCUCUAUCACAGACUCUCCCUGCUCACUAAGCCCUGUUACCUCCUCAGCUUCUGACACCUCCUGCUCCCAGUUUGACUGCUCAUCAUUGUCCCAUCACCACUCCCUGGACCCUGAGCCUUCUUCCCUUGGUGGUUCCCCAGCUGGUUCCUCCCACCAUUUCUCUGCACCCAACCAGUCCAUGACACCUGCCAUAGCUGAUGCCAGGACCUUUUUUGGGUGGCUGUGGGUGGGGUAGAGAAUGGAAGCAGGGCACAGUUGUUGAAGGGCAUCAGUACAGACCAAGAGAGGGGAACCUGCAGCUUCUCUCAGAUAUUGUUGGGCUCCAACUCCCAUCAGCCCCAUCCAGCACGGCCAAUGGCUGGGAUGACAGAAGUUGUCGUCCAAUGGAGAGCCGCAGGAUAAUGCCUGGCAUAAUGCAGAUGAUGGGUGUUGAUGCCAGUAUUGCAAGAGGCCUGUUGUUUGGCCUUCCGGCUUGGCACUUCCUCAGUUCCUGAGAUGGAAAUCAGGAGAGAUUGCAACCUUGGAAAUCCCCCGCCCUUCUGAGUUUUCCAAUAGGACCAGAUGAGGUGGCUUUCCAGAGGAGGAGGUGAGGCAUCAGUGUGCCCAGAGCCAAGCUUGGAAAGACCUAGAUGGAAAGGGAUGGAGCUCUUCCCGAGACUCCGAUUCCAGGAGGAGCUGUGGCUGGAAGUGGAUGCCAGACGCCUCCUUGUGGGCAGCUUGCUGGGAUGGCUGCCAUAUUUCUUGAUCCAGCACGCCUGCGGUUUCAAGUUGUUUAGACUCUGCUGGGAACGCUAAGAGGAAGUAGCAGGAUUAAAGUUGCAGGACACCCCAGAAGGUUUCUAUCUUUCCCUUGUGAGGAAGGGGCCAACCCUCUUCCAUACAGCGGGGCUGAGGAACUGGUGGCCCUCCAGAAGUUGUUGGACUACAACUCCCAUCACCCGUGACCAUGACUUCCCAUACUCUACUGGGUGGCCAAUGUGAUGCUCUCCAGCUGCUGCUGGGCUCCAGCUCCCAUCAGCUCCUGACAUCAGGGCCGCUGGUCAGGGUUGUUGGGAACUGUAGUCUAACAUAAAGCCCAUCUGUAGUGAGAUUCUUAGUGGGGAGAAAAAUGGAUAGCUCAGCUGGUUAGAGCAUGGUGCUGAUAACGCAAAGGUUGCAGGUUCGACCCCCACGUGGGGCAGCUGCAUAUUCCUGCAUUUACUCCCAUUCCUGUUUUUAAUAUUUAAUGCUGUAUUGUUUUUAACACUUGAUUGGAAGCCGCCCAGAGUGGCUGGGGAAACUCAGCCAAAUGGGCGGGGUAUAAAUAAUAAAUUAUUAUUAUUAUUAUUAUUAUUAUUAUUAUUAUUAUUGCAUGGGGUUUGGACUAGAUCAGUCCCAACUCUACAAUUCUAUGAGUCUAUGAGCCACCCUUACUGAUACCAUACAAAAAUACACAAAAGGCCCUCCCUUUCUCACAUGCACGGUGUCAGACUAUGUCCUGGGUUCGAAUCCCCAGUCAGCCACAAAGCUCACUGGGUGACCUUGGGGGGCCAUUCACAGCCUCUCUUCCCUCACAGGGUUGUUGUGAGGAUUAAAUUGGGGAGGAGGAAAAUGAUGCAUGCCACCAUGAGCUCUUAGGAGAAAAGGCAGGGGUAGAAACGCAAUAAUAAAUAAAUAGUACACAUACGGUGAUUUUUUUCUGGGCGUACUCAGGGGUAUGCAGUACUGGCACCUCCUCACCCAAGUUAAAAGUGUGGCACUCACUGUAACAAUUUUAUGGUUAGUACAGGAACCUGUUUUCCUAAAGCAAAAGAGAUUUCUGAACACAUUCUGUAGGGGAAUAGUUACCAGUGACAGGUGCUAUGACGGCUAGCUGGCCAGAGUAGGAGUUUAAAGUGAGGAGUAGGAGGAAAGAGGAAGAAGGAGUGGGGCUGUAGAAUCAGACACACCUUGCUCCAGGUGGAUGCAGAGUUCUUGCCUGCUCCCAUCUGGCUCCUAAGAAGCUCUCUCUUGCCCAGAGUCACAUACACUUUCACCAUCUAUCGGGGGAUCAGUUGCUCACGUCUCUGUUAUCUUGACCAAAGCCUGCUAACACAAGGCCAGAGCAAUGCUAAUUUUGUUCAGGGGCGGUAUUCAACACACUUGUUCUGUCCAUGGAUGCAGGUGGCGCUGUGGUCUAAACCACUGAGCCUCUUGGGCUUGCCGAUCAGAAGGUUGGCGGUUCGAACCCCCGCGAUGGGGUGAGCUCCCGUUGCUCCGUCCCAGCUCCUGCCAACCUAGCAGUUUGAAAGCACACCAGUGCAAGUAGAUGAAUAGGUACCGCUCCGGCGGGGAGGUAAACGGCGUUUCCGUGCGCUCUGGCUUCUGUCACGGUGUCCCGUUGUGCCAGAAGCAGUUUAGUCAUGCUAGCCACAUGACCUGAAAAGCUGUCUGUGGACAAACACCGGCUCCCUUGGCAAGAUGAGCCCCCCAACCCCGUAGUCAGCUUUGACUGGACUUAACCACCCAGGGGUCCUGGUCUAGUUACCGUAAGUGGCACAGUUUAGCAUAUAUAUAUGCAAAAAGGUUUGCUCUGCAGCACAGAAGCAAAGGUGAGGGCUUUUCCCUCCCAGGAGAACAAUAGCAGAGUUGUUUAUGUAUGUGACUUGAAAGCUGGGGGCAGGCAGUGGCAGAGCUUCAUGCCUCGGCACGGGGGUGGGGGGCGGAGAACAGGUGGGGGCAGGGCUGGCGUGUGUCCCGGGGGCAUGGCGCCCAGCACAGGUGGGUGCGGCAGCCACGAUGACACCCCAUCGGGAUCGCGCUGCUGGGGGUGGUGCGCUCCCCCCGCACUGCUCUUCCUCCGCCAGUGGGGGCACGGACAGAUCCUACUCUGUGCUGGAUCCAAAGCUGUGACCAACUAAGAGGGAGGAGAAGUUUCAUUGCACAAAUGGAAAAUGCAUUGGAUACACCCCCUAAAUACAUGCUGAUAUUGGUAGGGACAUAGCCGGCAUUUGGCCCAUGCAAACAAUGCCCUGAAGGACUGCCUCUUUCCAUAUGGACCUACCCGGACCCUGAGAUCAUCUUCUGUGGCCCUCGUUUGUGUGCCGCCUCCUCCUCCAGAGGUCCAGAGGGUGGCAACACGAGGACUUCUCUGCAGUGGCUUCUCUGCAGUGGCUCCCCGUCUGUGGAAUGCUCUCCCCAGGGAAGUUUGCCUGGCGCCUUCAUUGCAUACCUUUAGGUGCCAGGCAAAAACGUUCCUUUUUAACCAGGCCUUUGGUUGACCUGACUGACAUCCAACACCCUUUUAAGAUGCAGCUUUUUUGGGGGGGGGGGAGUUAUUGCUUUCAGUUUCAUUUUAUAUGUUGUGGUCUUGUUGUGAACCACCCUGAGACGGCCGGGUAUAGGGAGGUGUAUAAGUUGAAUCAAUAAUAACAAUAACAGCAGCAGCAGCAGCAGCAACAACAAUAAUCACUGAAACGUCUGGGAAAAUCUGGACGUACGGCAGCCCUUGUUGGAAGCAUCGAUUUUGGCGAAUUUAAUUUAUAAAAAAGCUCCAAAAUGCAAAACAACAAUAACAAAAAAGCUCUACAACCUACCACUUCCAAAACCUGUGAUUCUGUAUCUGUGAGGGUAGAAUAUAGAAGAGGAAGCUUGCCAAACCUGUUCCUUUGUCCAGGUAAUUCCUUUGUCUGCCUAGUUACCGUAAGUGGCACAGUUUAGCAUAUGUAGGCAAAAAGGUUGCUCAGUGGCAUUAGAAGCAAAGGUGCAUGGGUAGGCAAACUAAGGCCUGGGGGGCCAGAUCAGGCCCAAUCGCCUUCUAAAUACGGCCCGCGGACGGUCCGGGAAUCAGCGUGUUUUUACAUGAGUAGAAUGUAUGCUUUUAUUUAAAAUGCAUCUCUGGGUUAUUUGUGGGGCAUAGGAAUUCCUUCAUUUAUUUAUUUUUUUCCAAAAUAUAGUCUGGCCCCCCACAAGGUCUGAGGGACAGUGGACCGGCCCCCUGCUGAAAAAGUCUGCUGACUCCCGGUGCAGGCCUUUCCCUCCCAGGAGAACAAUAGCAGAGUCAUUAUGUAUGUGAGUUGAAAGCUGGAGGCAGGGACAGGUCCUUCUCUCUGCUGGAUCCAAAGCUGUGACCAGAAGAGGCAAGAUCUUCUGGGGUGUUAACGUCCUGAGUUCCCUCCAUCCUAUGCUCAGAUUGUAGAUAAGUGUAAGCGCGAUCAUAUCUCCUAAAGACACCACAGUCUCCAUUGACCUUCACUCCAAGCAGCUGAGCCCUGGAAAAGCUCAGACGCCUUCAGAGUCUCUCACCCCUCAGAGUUUGGGGAUGGUGCAUAGCAAUGGCGAACUUAAUAACAUGAGUAACAGGUCUUCCCCAGCACAUAAACUUCCUUUGCACUCCUCACCUUGUCUCUGGGGCAUCAAAAUUGGCUGUUUCUGGGGUAAGGAUAUAAAGUGGCUUGGAGAUGAGACCAGCACAAUUUCUCUUGAUAGGUGAGUUUAGACGAUGCUCAGCAUCUGACACCGUCACCUAUUUGCAAUCAUGAAAAAGGGAACUUUAACCAAGUGGCAGUGAUACAUCCUGGGACUUAGGGUUGGGGGGGGGGGUAUCUCCUGCAGCAUGUGACUUGAGGUUGUUUGGUUAUUGUUCAUUGUUCGGCAUAUUUGGCAUGAAACAUCUCUAGUUUGUUUGUUCCUUCAUUUCAUUCAUGGUGGUUUCCAAAUGCACAGGUGCCAUUCUGGCCCAAUUGGGCUCUCGUGAAAGCUAAAAGCAGCAGCAGAAGUAGCAGCAGCAGCAAUAAACAUAUAACAACAACAACAACAACAACAACAACAACAACAACCAUAUCAAAACACCAACAUCCAAAAACUACCAAAACACCAAUAUAUAAAAAAGAGAGGAAUCAGAAUUAAAAACAGGCACAGCCAUUACAGUUUGGCUUGCCAAAAACCCAUCUGAAACAAAAUGCUCUUUGCCAUUUUCUCAAAAGAAAGCUGAUAGUAAAUUGCCUGGCAAACUGUUCUAGGUAAGCAAUUCCAGAGAGAGGGUGCCACAACCAAAAAGGCCCCGUUCCGUGUACUCAAGUCACUAGCCUUUUUUUCAAAGUCUGGGACACCUGGAGUGAAACUAUUUCACUCUAUGAGUCGGUUUCAGUUUCUCUUGGUUCGUCAUUUUCCCAUUCUUCAGUUAGCCGCAUUUCUCCAUCAGUUGGUUUUUAAAACCCAUCAGUAUCUGCCCCGCCAGUAUAUACAUUCUUUGCAAGGUAUUUCCCCUAAUGAGACACAUUUUUAAAAGUCGCUAAUAUAUGUGCUUUUAUGUACACUUUCCUCAAACGCAUCCAUCUUUUCUUGGAUGGAGCGUUGCAUCCAAGGUAAUUCGGAGAAGCACAAGUUUUAAAGGAUAGCUCCGUUUUGGCUUGCGAAUUCCUGGGAGUGCGAACGAGAGUAGGCUGGCAUGAAAAUGCGAACAGACUUGGGGAGGGGCGUUUUGCCUCCAUCUCUAACCAUCAAAUACCUCUCUCUCUCUGGCGCCCAUAGACCUGCACCACGUUGCUGUGGGAGGAGGCGUAGCUGGUGGCUGGCCGAGCUGUGCUUUUCGCCCCCGCACCUGUGGUCCCCUGUGGAAUGUUUUCCCCGGCAGGUGUAACUCCUGAGUCGAUUUGUUCCACCAGGAUGCUCCUGAAUUUCUGUCUCCAGCCUCCCCCCUCCCCAGCUCUUUGAUGCCUCUGUGCUCCAAGAUAACUUCAAACAUCUGCACGAACCAGCACAGCCCAGGCUUUUUAAUUACACCCUUCCCAGCUCCCUGGUACUCUCCAGCCCCUUUGAUGUUCUCUUACCACCCAGCGCUGUCGCCAGCAGCCACACACAUACCAUAGAGUUCAGUCUGCCCCGAGGGGCGGAUGGUGGGAAGGUGGGAGUGGAGAAAGGAGGCAGAGAAGCAGGAUGAACCAAGCUGGUCCUUUAAACAUCCUCCGCACAGCCCAUAGACCAUCUGGGGAAUAUUCCAGGUACCUAUAUGUGGCUUAGGCCCUAUUAACAUCAAAGCCGUUCAGCCGCCACAUCCCCGUGUGCUGAGUCCCUGAAGCAAGGGUGUUUAUUUUUAAAUAUAUGCAUAUUUGGGUCCAAAGAGUCUUCACUGAGAGCAAGCAUCCUAGCUGGCUCAUCCUUUCCCUGCAGAUGGACCGGAAAAUCAGUGCAUUUCCCCAGGAAUCCUGUUUGUCUUUCUUGUUUAAAUGAUGGCAUGAAUGCGACCUGAAACAAGUACAGUCAUACCUCGGGUUACAGAUGCUUCAGGUUGCGUUUUUUCAGUUGUAGACUGCCGAAACCCGGAAGUACCGGAACGGGUUACUUCCGGGUUUCGGCGGUCACGCAUGCACAGAAGCGCUGAAUUGCAACCCGCGCGUGUGCAGAUGCGGGUUGCGAACACUGCGGGUUCCGAACGUGCAUCCCGCAUGGAUCACGUUCGCAACCGGAGCGUCCACUGUACGUUUAAAGCCCACACCACAGCUAGAAGGUAUCCCUGUCCUCCACAGGGGUACACAUUACUUAUGUAUGUCCCAUUCUGUUCAACACAGAAAAUAAUCUUCAUUCAAAAAUAAUUAACCCACCAAAAAUGUCUUACUCCUGUUUACAUGCACAGCUUUACAGCCCAGUCCUGUGCAUGUGUAUCAAUGGGGAGCAACACCUACAUAAAAUCAUAGAAUUGGAAGGGGACGCAAGGGUCAUCUAAUCCAGCCCCAUGCAAUGCAGGAAUCUUUCGCCCAACAUGAGACUCGAACCCACGACUCUGAGAUUAAGAGUCUCACCCUCUACCAACUGAGCUAGGACUCUGCCACAUUAGCAAAACAAAACAAAACAAACGGUUUUUAAUUCGUUACAACACGGUGACACCAGGUGGCGCUGCAAUGUGAUUUCCCAUUGUGAGGUUUCGACGCGUUUUUCUGAAAGCGUCUAGAUCCAGCCCUAGUCAUUGCAAAGUCCACCGGUAAGACUUGAGCUAAGAGAUUCCACAGAGAGUGCGCCCCUCCCCCCUCACCAUGGAACCAGCUGUAUGUAUAAUGUAUUGCUCUUACAAGCCCUGGGUUGGAUCUAGAAACAUUUUUUUAAAAAAACAUUUCAGGGAACCGUAGGUUCAUACAGUGGUACCUCAUACAGUGGUACCUCUAGAUACGAACAGGAUCCGUUCCGGAGCCCCGUUCAUAUCUAGAAGCAAACGUAACUAGUGACGGCACGUCUGCGCAUGCGUGACGUCAUUUUAAGUGCCUGUGCAUGCGCAAGCGGCGAAACCCGGAAGUAACGCGCUCCAUUACUUCCGGGUUGCCGCGGAGCACAACUCGAACGCGCUUAACCCGAAGCGCAUUCAACCCAAGGUAUGACUGUAGUGGGAAAUCACAUUGCCGAAAGACGAAAUUCUACAGCGUCAUCUGGUGUCACAGUGUUAUGACGUAUAUAAAACACUUUUCCUUUACAGUGUACCUCAGGUUACGAACUUAAUUCGUUCUGGAGGUCUGUUCUUAACCUGAAACUGUUCCUAACCUGAGGUACCACUUUAGCUAAUGGGGCCUCCCGCUGCCGCCGCGCCGCCAGAGCACGAUUUCUGUUCUCAUCCUGAAGCAAAGUUCUUAACCUGAGGUAUUAUUUCUGGGUUAGUGGAGUCUGUAACCUGAAGCGUCUGUAACCUGAGGUACCACUGUACCAAUGUAGUCCGUAAUCCCGGGCAGGAAAGUGCCACAGAACUGCAAUGGCGCCUCUUUUUUUCCUGGAGCAAGGCGUUGUAUUUUAGCCCCUCAGAGCUCUGUCCAAACAAGGGUUCUGCCCAUAAAGUAGUGACAUACGAGAAAGCGGCCUUGAGCAUGUGCAGAGUGCCUUUCCUCACUACAACUAGCCUGAACACUUCUGCAGCUAAGGCACCCUCCAAAGAAGAGGGCAAAUUUGAGCCCUGGCGCCUCUCCUUUUAGAAACAGAAUUAAAGGUCUGAGACCCCAAGGGCAUUGUUCUCUAUUAAUUGUUCCGCUCGAUGCUUUGUCAGGGAUUGCCAAAUGUCGUGUGCGCAUGAGAGAAAGGGGCUUCCCCUUUCUGCCCCGCAGCAUCCUGGGUAAUGGCACAGAAAGAGAUGUGGUCCGCCAGGUGCGAGGAGCUUUGGGGAGGCGAAACAGGGCCGCCUUCUUUUCUUCUGACCUGGGCUGCAAGCACACCAAACGUCGAAAGCACACCUAAACAUGUAAAGAACAUUUAAACAGGAACACCCCCUGCCAACAAACAAACAAAACACCGAAAACGUAAUUUACCUCACAGUACUACAGUUCCCAGCACCACACACUACAGUUCCCAAGUUUCUUUCAGUGUUUGACUGUGUGUGCUUUAAAGAUAUAUAUGUAUGCAGCCUUAGAAGCUUUGUGACUUAUUUCUAGCCUUAUUUAUUCUCGUUGCCGUCCGUUUUUAGGCAGCUCAGUGCUGUAACUGACCCCACAGCAGUUCAACUACCAGCCCGGCCUGGCAGAAACCCCCCAGGCCGGGCGCUUUCCAUGGCACAGAGAGGCAGAGCGGGGAAGCAGCACCACCUAGAUUCCUGCCUGUCCUCACAUAGGUGCUACAAGCCGCGGGUGCCCUGGCGGUUACCUCGCGGAGGAGCUUUGGGGCGCAAGAUGGGGAGCCCUGUCUCGUCUGAUCUUUCCAGCUUUGAAGCACAUGGCCCCGGGGCCAAACAUCGCGGCUCCGAGGAGGGCAGGACCAAACAGCCCUCCUGCCUCUUCCCUUCCUCGCAGGCCUCCUGGGACUCAAAUAUCCCACAUCCUGGCACCGAUGCUCUCUCUCAGCGGCGGGUUGCUGAGGGCCUGGCAAAGGCGAGGGGGGCGGGUGGGUGUUACGUGUGUCGGGCAAGGGUGAGCCGGAGGCACCCGGGUUGGCUGCUUGUUUAUUUGGUUACUGCUUUGUGGUUUCCACAAGGUGCCUGCAGGUCUGUGAAGAGAAGCGGCUUCAAGAUGCGUCUCGCCCUGUUCUCGUCUCCUGCUAGGCCUCAGACGGGCCCAGAUGGCGGCCGUCCAACUCUGUGUGUGUGAGAGAGAGAGGGAGGGAGAGAGAGGAGGGAGGAAUGGAAGGAAGAAAUGAAGAAGAGAACUGAGGAGAAGGAGAGGGAGGGGAAGGGAAACAAAGCUUGUGAGUCACUUCGGAAUGUCAGAAGCUGCUGCUGGGUCUGUCUCCGGCUCAGGGUUGCCCACACUGGCUGGCAGCAGCCGUUCAGGGUUUCAGGCAAGGGACGUUCCCAGCCCCACCUGGGUAUUUCAGGAUUUGAACUCAGGACCUUCUGCAUGCAUGUGGGAGGGUGUGCAAAUCUGCUAAGAAGUGAGCCCCAUCAUCCCUGACUUGUCCUGCUAGUGAAAGCUGAGGUGAAAGCAGUAUUGUGUGUUGCCUCAUCAGGUGCAUGACAAAUAUGCUUGGGCCACCAUGAUAUAUUAGGGUUGCCAUAUGUCAGUAAUUUCCCAGACAUACUGAGAAUACUGCAUUUGGAAGUAGUGUCCGGGCGGAAAUAGCAGCAAAUAAAAUCCGCUCAUACGUCAGCGACUGAUAAGACUUGUCAACCAGUUCUUCCAAAGUCUUCCUGAAUGAUAAAGCUCCAAAAUACAGUGGUGCCUCGCAGGACGAAAUUAAUUCGUUCCGCGAGUUUUGUCAUCUUGCGAUUUUUUUCGUCUUGCGAAGCACGGUGUCGGGAAAGUUUUGGAAAAGCUUCAAAAAUCAGUAAAGUCUUAAAAAACCUCAAAAAAGGCUACCACACCGUGUUCUAUGAGUUGCUCCUCGAAGUCAAGUCGCAACUGUAUUAAUGGUGUUAAGAAAAAGGAAACAAACUUGCAAGACGUUUCCGUCUUGCAAAGCAAGCCCAUAGGGAAAAUCGUCUUGCGAAGCAGCUCAAAAAACCCUUUCGUCUACUGAGUUUUUUGUCUUGCGAAGCAUUCGUCUUGCGAGGUACCACUGUACAGGCCAAAAGACAGCAAGUCUGGGAAAAGUGGUCCAUACAAUGGGCACCACCAGUGAAAAGGCCCUGCUCCGUGUACAUUUGAUAGGGUGCCCACUUGCCCUUCUUCUUGACAUGGAAUGCUCUCUAUUGGAGUCUCCAGGUCCAGUACAAAGACCAUAAGAUGGGAGAGCAGGGACUUUGGAGUUUCCAACAGUUGUUAAGCAAGCAAGCACACGGGUCACCUUUGUCACAGUCAGGAUGCCUAUGCCCAAUCUUGUUUUUGUACAAUCUUGUUUGUUCUCAGUAACCAAAAUUAUGUUAUCAACAUAUACAAGCAGAAAAGUUGUUUUACUUCAUUUGCAAGGAAUCAUACAAAACAAAGCGGCACUAAUAAAGAAAAGUUCCAGGGUGGCAACAGAAAGAAAACUAAAAAUGCUUUUGCAAUUCAUCAGAAAUAUCCAGCAAUAUAAAGUAUAAGAAAAUUGGUGCUUUUAACAGUAACCCUUCUAGUUGGCUAUUUGAUUCGGCAACUUCCAUGCACAUGACAUGUGAUGCUAAUCCCCCCUCCAAAGAGUUAAAAGAUAACUCAUCAGAGGAAUCUACAGUUGCAAAUCGCAACAAAAUAUCUGUGAAAGGAAGAGGAGCAGGUUUGCUGAAGUGUGUUACAGUUAGAAAUACUGUUUUGCAAUGAAGUGAGAGCAGUUUACUUGCUCGAAUUAACCAAUCAGAAAGUUUCGAGAAUUUACAUGCUAGAUUAAAAUAGAUUAAUUCAUUGAGCAGGCGAUUGUAAGAGAAACACUGGGGCCUAAUUUGAAUAGUAGCGUGCCUGGUAUCUGGUGGGCAACCUCAUUCUUUAUUUCCACACCGUGGCUGCAAAGUAAAUCGCCCGUCAGGAGAGCGAUGAGAUUCAGGCGAGGGUCAGAUGCCUUGCCAAUUCCAGCAGGUAUAUAACAGGCCUUCACCCUGGCCAAGACAAAGAAUGUACUCCUGCAAUGAGCCAAUCAAUUGGAAAAUUUGUUUGUUUGGAACCCAUACUAGUCAGAAUUUCACAGUUUAAAAGCAGCACCCAGAGAAAUCUUAUGCAGCGGUUCGGAACGGCUACCCUCCUCAGUGGAUUCUUCCAGCUUCUUGCAACUACUGCCCCCUUUCUUUGUCAGUGUUCCCAAUGCAGUGACUCGAAGCCUCGGCAUCAUGCACUGGACCUGCAACGAAACCAGCUCAACAGGCUUGGGCUGGCCUGUACUUGAGCGGGGAGGGGAGGGGGAGGAGUGCUAAGGAACACCCAAGCACUCCAGGAAGUGGAACAAGAUGACUCAGAAGCUUUGCCUUGGCCUCUGGCUUGGCUGACACGAGGCCAGCACCAGGGUUAGUCUUUAGAGGGCGCUGUCCCCAGCAAAGGGAAUGUUGCAAAUUGCUCACGUGGUCAGCCGUCGGGACCAGAUCUGGGAAGGGUCGUAGGUCAGUGCUGGGGCAUCUGCCUUGCACACAGGGUCAAUCCCCAGGUUGUCUUGUUGGCAGUACUUUUUACGAAAUAGCAUUGUUGCUGAACACCAUUUCAGCUUUUAAAGCUUUCGUCAGCUUACUUGAAAAUCAAGGUGGGAUUGUGCUUGUUUUCCUUAUUUUACCAUUUGCAGGGCGGACAACACAACAAAAUAGAGAGUCUUAUCACAAUAAACUGAUCUGCUUGAAAGGCCGUAGAUAUGUCAAACUCUACAGCAACAAAAUGAUUAAAAAAAACCAUACAGAGUGAAAUACUCAAAUAUACAACUGUAAGCCAGUUGUAGGAUCAUUACACUGCAGGGUUCCUGAAGAAUAUGGGAGAUAUUUCUGCAAAGUUCCACAUUCUUAUUUCAAUGUACAGUGGUACUUCAGGUUACAUACGCUUCAGGUAACAUACGCUUUAGGUUACAGACUCCACUAACCCAGAAAUAUUACCUCAGGUUAAGAACUUUGCUUCAGGAUGAGAACAGAAAUCUUGCUCCGGCAACGUGGCAGCAGCAGGAGGCCCCAUUAGCUAAAGUGGUGCUUCAGGUUAAAUACAGUUUCAGGUUAAGAACGGACCUCCAGAAUGAUUUAAGUACUUAACCCGAGGUACCACUGUAUAGGAAAAUAUACAUUCCACCAAGUCAGACCAUUGGGGCAUCAAUGACGGACAGCAGCUUGACAGGGUUUCAGACAUAUAUCUUUUCCCAAUCCUACUUAGGAGAUGCCAUAUUGGCUUGGCAAACAGAGUGUAGAUUUUAAAAGAUAAUCAUAGUUGUGUUGUUAAUACAGCGUUAUUAAGGAUUUGAUGUAUUGACUCAGAAGUAUAUGAUGUAACACUUUGUGGCAUUUUCUUGGCUGAUUCUUCAUUUAAUAGCAUUUUGCACUCGAGCAUGAGGCUUCACAACAUCAAAAUACCAGAUGCACGGUUCAGAUGCAGGCUCGUAACUACUGGAAGCUGUGGUAGUGGGCCGAAGCCUGUGGAACUCUCUCCCGACUAAUAUUGAAUAGGCACUCUCCUCGAUCAACUUGAGAUGCGUGGCUUUCUUGGUCCAGCAAACAUUUUAAUGUCAUGUUUGAUUUUAUGGCAAACUUUUAUUGCUGCCUUGUCCCGCUUUCUACAGAUUGUUUUUAUUUACAUAGCUUAGAAUGUAUCAGGGACCAUGCUGAGGAGGGCUGCACUGAGGAAGAAUGGUGGGAGUCUCUCCCUCCCCCCCUCUCCUGAAACUUCCCAGGAGCAGGAGGACAAUAUAGAUUUGGAACAGUGGUUUGCAGAGGGGCAUGGUUUAGAAGGCAGAAGCUGGGAAAUACUGAAUGGGGAACAGCUAGGAGAGGGAACACUGGGAGAGAGAGGGUUAACAGAUUCACUGUCUCUGGGAAGCAUUCCUCCGCUCUCCCCAAGGUCAAGAAGAGCUCAGAAAGGGGCAGAACAGUAAGCACAGAGGAUGGGAUUCUUAACUGGGAGCACCACCGUUUCUAGGAGAUGGGUUCUUUGUUCUCUCGCUGGGAUUAUUAAAAGUUUCUAACUGGUAAGAAGACUCCUUUUCCUUUGUUCUGCUUAUCUACUGCCAUGGGAGGAGGAAGGCGAUUCCCUGAAGCCUGACAGAAUGUGAAACAAUUAAGUGGUAUAUUUGUAUGGGUGACAUUUAGUUAUAUCUGAGGUCCAGGACUAGCCUAGAACAUCUCACUGUGCCUGAAGUGGAAAACCCAACAAUGUCCCAAGACUAAGUGAUAUGUGAAUAAAUGUCUUAAAUCAAUCAAUAAAGAGCUGGGGCAUCCUCAACAGAUGCCCAUCCAGCCUUUUUCGGAUGAUCUCUAGCAAGGAUGACUCCACUGCUCUUCUAAGUAACAGGUUCCAUUGCUGAACUGCUCUUACCAUGCUUCUCCAAAUGUUCAACCAAAUCUACCCUCCCAUGACUUAAUUCCCUUAGAUCUAGUCCGGCCCCCAGGGGCACUUGAGAACAAAGCGUUGCUCAUUUCUACGUGACAGCCCUUCAGGGAUUUGAAGGGCUUGGCCAAAACAGGGAAGGCAGAACUCCUGAUGGAGACUACACAACUCCACAUUCCACCAUUAGAUGAGAUUCAAGGUCCCUCCAAAUGUCCUUUUUUCAUGCUCCUGAUGGUAUUGGGGCGGUUGUACACAAUCUGGAUUUCAGUUCUGUUUGUGCCUCCAAAAGUUUCAAGGGUAGACAUCCUGCUUCAUUUUCUCAAGCAAUGCAUGACUCGCAACGUCCAGCUGAAAUUUUGUAACUUUUCACACCAGGAAUGACCUGGGACUCAGCUACUUUAGUCAAGAAACACAUGUUUUGGGUGCAUCCAACACCAGAUUGCACCAGAAAGCAGAAAAACUUUCGAAGUGAUUUUCCAUAACGUUUUUUCCCCCUUUUGUUUUUCCCCCCUUUUUGAUUUCCGACUUAUUUAUAGCAUUUCCUCCGUAUGUGUAGACCCAACUCUGGUUUAUAUACCCCCUCUUAUUUCGUUGUGUUAUAGUGCAAGGCUGUCCUUCCAGAAGGCAACAACGCAAUAACAUUGGGGAAGCAUCACAUAAUGACAUAUAAAACAGAACUAUGUGUAGAUGCUUCACCAUGAAUGCGCUAUUGUUGCAUCAGUGACAUGUUUCAAAAUGUUAUUGUUGUUUAGUCAUUAAGUCAUGUCUGACUCUUCGUGACCCCAUGGACCAGAGCACGCCAGGCACUCCUGUUUUCCACUGCCUCCCGCAGUUUGGUCAAACUCAUGCUGGUAGCUUCAAGAACACUGUCCAACCAUCUAGUCCUCUGUCGUCCCUUCUCCUUGUGCCCUCCAUCUUUCCCAACAUCAGGGUCUUUUCCAGGGAGUCUUCUCUUCUCAUGAGGUGGCCAAAGUAUUGGAGUCUCAGCUUCAGGAUCUGUCCUUCCAGUGAGCACUCAGGGCUGAUUUCCUUCAGAAUGGAUAGGUUUGACUUUCUUGCAGUCCAUGGGACUCUCAAGAGUCUCAUCCAGCACCACAAUUCAAAAGCAUCAAUUCUUCGGCAAUCAGUCUUCUUUAUGGUCCAGCUCUCAUUUCCAUACAUCACUACUGGGAAAACCAUAGCUUUAACUAUAUGGACCUUUGUUGGCAAGGUGAUAUACCACAAACAAACAACAACAACAACAAUAACUAGUCUGGAGGAGCCCCAGGAAACAUGAGGAACUGAUGUUCUAGUUGCCUCUAUUUCUUUGAAACAGCUUUAUGCAGUUCCUGACAUCACAGGUCACCUUUGAAUGAAUAACGCACGAUACUUUACUCCAGUUUCUUCAUGAAAAUCAAGGUGGUUUUACUGCUCAUAUUUCGGCCAUUUCCCUUUUAAUUCCCAUUCUUGAUUGCAAACAUUCCCAGCUCAUUCUCCUCAUUGACCUUUUAAGGUCUGAAGUGCAGAGGGUGCCUGGCAUUUCAGGGUCAAUCUAAAACUCUGCUUGGUCAGAUAUUCUUAGGAGGAGCUGUCGGACUGGGGGAAGGUUCAUGAAGUCACGUCUGACCCAGGCUCUGCUCUACCCGAGGAAAGCAAAUGACAGGCUGCCAUCACCUUGAAAGCUGCAAUUUAGUGCUGCCGCUGUGAUAUCCUCCAGAAGUUAAUAAGCACCCUGCUUGCAUGCGAGGAGGCCAUGGUGGUUUGGGAAUAUGUAAACCUGGGGAGACUUGGGCUUUUGAGGGAAGGAGGUGGUGGGGCUGAGCUAUUGGUCAGGAAAUGCUCCAGCUGUGGGAUCCUAGAUUACCUUUUGUAAAAAGCCCACCCCCCACUCCAAUUCAGUGGAUUCAUGUAGCUGACAUGAAUCUGGAAUGACUCAAGAGUGCUGAACGAUGUGCAUUGGAGUCAAGCAUAUUUUUGAAAUUGUGAACCUUUUUUACCAGGAAUUUUAGAUGCAGAAAUACCAAAGGACCAGAAAAGACUAUUUAUGUAUGCGACGACAGCUGCCCAGAUCCUUCUAGCCCAGAGAUGGAAGGAAGACAAAGUCCCUACCAGAGAAGAUUGGCUGAUAAAGAUGAUGGACUAUGCCAAAAUGGCGAAAAUGACCGGGAGAAUUAGAAACCAAGAAGACAAAAGCUUUUAAUAUAGAGUGGGGGAAAUUUAUAAGUCACUUAGGAGAACACUGCAAACAAUUAAAAACAUUGGUAGGAUUGGAAUAACACUUGUAAUGUAGUAAGAACUAGGGUCUAAUGAGGAUUUUAAGAAAAAAUGAAGGAUAAUAUGAGAUGAGGAUAAUAUGGGACAUGGGUGGCACUGUGGUCUAACCCACUGAGCCAAGGGCUUGCCGAUCAGAAGGUCAGCGGUUCGAAACCCCACGACGGGGUGAGCUCUUGUUGCUCUGUGUCAGCUCCUGCCAACCUAGCAGUUCAAAAGCACGUCAAAGUGCAAGUAGAUAAAUAGGUACCACUCCAGCGGGAAGGUAAAUGGCGCACCGUCCCCAGCACCACGAUCCCGGUGGGGUGCCAUCACGGUUGCCCCCCCGCGCUGGGCACCAUGCUCCUGGGACGUGUGCCAGCCACGCCCACACCUGCUCUCCGCCCCCAGUGCUGGAGCAUGAAGCUCCACCACUGCUGAGCACUGCACAGUACACAUUGCUCUAUGCUGCCCUUUUGGACCAGAGCUCUUGCGCUGCUUCUGCAUUGUUGGCUUAUCAUUCUUAUAUUGCUCAAUCUUUGCCGAACAACAACACACAGUAAUGGCUCUCUUUCUAGGCACGACAUCUUGACAUUACUGGUUCCUUUUCUGAAGUUUGACUCUGUCACGAGCCCACUGUAUACAUUUUUGUAGAAAGCACAUUGAACGUGCCCCCCAGCAAAUAACCCUAGCAAUUGUUGUUGCUGCUGUUUUUUAAUAAUAUUUUUAUUGACUUUCCAUUUUAUAAUAUGUAAAUAUAUCCUUAUUUUGCACAUUAGUUUUUGCCCAUAUGAGCUGGUUGACUUCUCCCCCCCCCCCACCUCAUGGUUACCGUAUUUUUCGCUCUAUAGGAUGCACCCGACCAUAGGACACACCUUGUUUUAGAGGGGAAGAACAAGGGGAAAAAAAUUUCUCCCCCUCUCUGCUCAGUGCCCCUUCAGCGAAGCGGCAGGAGAAACGGAGCCCCUUCCAUUUCUCCUGCCCCUUCACUGAAGGGGCGCUGCGCAGAGAGGGGGAGAUUUUUUUUCUCUUGUUCUCCCCCUCUAAAACAAGGUGCGUUCUGUGCAUUCAAGGUGCGUUCACCCGAAGCCUCCGGGAACUCCCGCUGCGCUCUGGAGGCUUCAAGCAGCUACCUUGGAAGCCUGGAGAGUGAGAGGGGUCACUGCGCACUGACCCCUCUCGCUCUCCAGGCUUCAGUGAAGGCAACCCGAAGCCUCAGGAGCAUGGUGGGAGUUCCCGCUGGGCUCCGGAGGCUUUGGGUUCCUUUCGACCUACUCUUUGGGGCUGGCGGGGGGAAGCGCUGCUUUCCCCCAACGCCAGCCCCAAAGAGCAGGUCGGGGAGCAGCGCAAAGGCUGCGUGCAGCCUUCCUGCUGCCCCCCAAGCUUGUGGGGCUGGCGGUGGGGGGGGAGCGCUGCUUCCCCCCCCCAGCCUCAAAGAUCCCUGAAGCCUUCAGAGUGCAGCGCGAGUUCCCGCUGCGCUCCGCAGGCUUCGGGUUCCUUUUGCUGAACCCGGGAGAGCAAGACUCUCCUGGCUUCAGUGAAAGGAACCUGAAGCCUCCGGAAUGCAGCAGGAACUUGCGCUGUGCUCCGAAGGCUUCAGGCGGCUAUCCCUGAAGCCUGGAGAGCGAGAGGGGUCGGUGCCCACUGACCCCUCUUGCUCUCCAGGCUUCAGCGAAAGCAACGCGAAGCCUCCAGAGCAUGGAGGGAGCGCUCCUUCUGCGCUUCGGGGGCUUCGCGUUGCUAUCGCUGAAGCCAAGGAGCCUGCAUUCGCUCCAUAGGACGCACACACAUUUCCCCUUAAUUUUUGGAGGGGGAAAAGUUCAUCCUAUAGAGCGAAAAAUACGGUACCUUAAUUCUUUACUAUAUCAUCACAUUUGUACCUCUUUCUGCUUACAUUAUGUCCAUUUCAAUUAUUACAUUUUUAAAAAAUAUAUAUAAAAAGGUAGAAUCAUCAACAUUACAAGUCUUCUUAAGUCAAUCCAGCUAGUGUUGUUAAUUGUUUGCAAUUGUCCUUCAAACAUUGUAUAAAUUUACCCCAGUCUUUUUGGAAAGCUUGAUCACGCUGGUUUUGGAUUUUCCCAGUCAGCUUUGCCAGUUCUGCAUAUUCCACCAUCUUUGUCUGCCACUCUUCAAUUGGAAGUGACAGGAAUUACCAGCCUAGCAAUUGUUGUUUACCCUGCACAGAGCUACAGUUCUCAGGACCCUUAACAAAACUCAGUUCCCAGGAUUCUUUGGGUUCUGUGUGGACUGGCUUUAAAUACUUGGAGGAGCUUCUCCACCCCCAUCGUUCAGCCCGGACACUGAGGUCCAGCGCCGAGGGCCUUCUGGCGGUUCCCUCACUGCGAGAAGUGAGGUUGCAGGGAACCAGACAGAGGGCCUUCUCGGUAGUGGCACCCGCCCUGUGGAACGCCCUCCCACCAGAUGUCAAAGAGAAAAACAACUACCAAACUUUUAGAAGACAUCUGAAGGCAGCCCUGUUUAGGGAAGCGUUUAAUGUUUAAUAGACUAUUGUAUUUUUAUAUUCUGUUGGAAGCCGCCCAGAGUGGCUGGGGAAACCCAGCUAGAUGGUUGGGGUAUAAGUAAUAAAUUAUUAUUAUUAAAUGCAAGGUGUGUAGGCAGCCUGGGCAACUGCAAUCUAAGGAUCAAGCUGGGCUUUACUGCAGAGUUGUUGUACAGAUUAGUGGGGUGAUGCAUGUGGAGCUCUUGGGACACCCCAAAGUCCCGUCUAAACACUAGACUGUUGAACGAUUGCCAGACAAACAAAUACAGGGCCUCAAGAACCAAUGCAACGAGGAACGUUGAACUGCGAAACCUGAUCGAGGCAGGAUGUGGAACGAUCUGUGAACCGUACAAGUGGCGAGAUCCAAUCCUCCGCCCCACCCACCGCGAGAAGACCGAGACAAUGCUAACAUUGGGAUAAGACAGAUUGACGUGAUGUCAUUGCAGGGAGGCAGACAGUUCAAAAGCUAUUGAAGCCUUUCUCCUGAAAGCUCCUUCGAGAGGCGUUGCAGACUGAUUUGGCUUUAGAUCCAAGGCUUCGUCAAGAGUCCAUAAUCCCCUCGCUUUGCAUGACCGACCGUCUAUGCGGUUGGCACUUCAACACGACGCUGAGCUGGGCAGACGCUUGGCGGGGAAGAUGAAGACACUGCCUUGUGUCAGCUAAGUGGCGUCUCAGAGGGCUCUGAGCACCUCCGGGGUGGACUCCUCUCUGAUGCGCAGGAAAGUUUUACCUUCGACUCUCUAGACUGCUGACCAGCUGUUUCUGGGGCAACCAUAAGCCAAGCAUAAUGAAUAUCUUUUGGCUGAGACAGAAAACCUCAAACCAGGUUCACUUUGUGGACAUUUGAUAUUUCGUGGGUUAUGGUCUGGCCUAAGCCCCAUCCCUGGCCAUUGCUCACAGCCUCUGUCUAUGUGCGCAGAUUUGCUGUUUGCAGAUGAUUUUGAUCCCGGCUCUGUGGGUACGACAAGAUCGCUCUCGAACCCAUUCCACAUAACAAAGCUGACCAGAUGGGCUGCUGCUGCAUCUCAGCUAAAGUAUCCACAACAGAUGGUUGUGAGUCGAGGACCCACCACCCGCAUAGGAGUAUAAUAAGACACAAAUAAACAUUAUUUUAGGUUAAUGGGCAAAAUUAGGCCACAACUUUUAUUGGUUACAGCAUGUGAGUAGUAUUGGCCUAGGCACUGGAUGAAAUAGCAAUACAAGACUCCAUGGGAGUCAUAUCAGGGUUAACAACCAAUGGGAGGAGCUUGUUGAUGCAAAUACAAGUGGAAGCUCUCCAUUACAUCACUGGGGGUCAUGCCCUGGCCCUAGCCACCAGCAGGGCAUCGGACAGGAUCCACGACUGCCGGAUUCCUUUAAUGGAAUACCCAAAAGAGGAGGGGUAGAUGAUGGCCCAUACCCAAUCCUUCAACACAGCACACAUAUUCCAAUGCCUAACCGCCAAUACCAGAAAGUUGUGAUGAAUUGCUACGAGGUAGGCGAAAAAAACCAUGGUUCGAGUCCUGUCCUCCAGAGCAGGAGAAAUCAAGCUUGUUCCCUCUCUCACGUGACAGCCCUUGAGAUAGUUGAAGAUGGCUAUCAUAUCUUCUCUCAGUCUCCUCUUUUCCAGGCUAAACAUACCCAGCUCCUUCAACUCCUCCUCAUAAGGCUCUGUUUCCAGACCCUUGAUCAUCUUGGUUGCCCUCCUCUGCACACAUUCCAGCUUGACAACUUCCUUCUUAAAUUGUGGAGCCCAGAACUGGACACAGUAUUCCAAGUGUGGUCUCACCAAGGCAGAAGAGAGUGAGAAUUUCUUUAGGAUUGCAGUGGGCAUGGUUUGGGUGGGUGGGUGGGGGUGCUGCGAGAUGCCCCAGGGUAGUGUGUGUGUUUUUCUUGUCUGGUAAACAUCUCCCAUCACUCUGAAGCUUCCCUGGAUGACUGUGGGUGCUUCUUGGUGGUCACUGUUUUUGAGUGGGAUUCAAUCACAUAUUAGCAAAUUCAGACGGCACAAUUAAAGUUGAUUCUGCACUCUUAUGCAGCAACUCCUCCUCCCCCCCCAAAAAAACACACAUCCUGGACUUUUUGUGAUAAGGAAAGUGUUGGGGCAUAUAUGCUGAAAUUGAAGAUAAUGAUGGCUUUAUGUCCUGUAAGAUCACCAGAAACAAAAUCAAAAUGAAUGUUCAGUAGAUAACUGGUGCUGUCUAACCUCCCCACAAACUUUGUGUGAACAAAUUAGGAUAAAUGCUGAGUAAACUGCUCAGCGAACUAUACUUUCCGAUCUGAAAAAAUAUCAGUUUUACUCCAUGCUGUCUCCCCUGAGCUUCCGUGGGGCCUUUUCUUUUCGGGUGGGGGUUUGGUUUCUUGCAUUUUCCCCUCACAGAAUCUCUCCUAGCUCCACCUUCACAAGUAAGUUAAGCUCAUCAAACACCCUGCGGUCUGCCCAUGAGAAUUUCAUCCACAUUUUCUCUCCCUUUUGACAGUGUUCCUCAUUAAUCAAUGGAGAAUAUUUUUAAAUCAGAGACUUUUCCAGCAGAGCAUUUAUGAUAAGCCCUGGUUGCCUGGUGACAUUUAAUAAUGUAUGAGGUCCAGGACCAGCCUAGAACAUCUGAAGAGGAAAACUCAACAAUGCCCCCUGAUUCCACCCACUCCUCAAUGCGGUGUCGAGCUAAAGGGCAUAGUAUCAGCUUAUUUUGGCACCUGAGCCAGAAAAUACCACAAGUGCUCACCCUGACAGUAAAAUCACAAUAAUAAUACAUUCAAGCAACUAACAAUUUGCAGUCCUUUCAUGACACCCAGAAUCAGCUGCCUGAGGCGGCUGCCUCACUCUGCCUAAUAGUAGGGCAGGAUGAGAGGCCUCUGUUGGAGCCUGGUGGCCUCAUUUCUGCAGCACACACUGGUGGGUCAGUGGCCUGGGGGGUAUGUGUGCACACCAAACAUUUAGAUCACAUGACUUCUCCCAAAGAAUUCUGGGAACUGUAGUGAUGUUGUGUGUGUGUGUGUGUGUGUGUUUGCCUAUCUGCAUUGGAUUUCAAAUAGUUCUUAAGUAGGUAAAGGUAAAAGGUAAAGGACCCCCGGACGGUUACGUCCAGUCAGAGGUGACUAUGGGGUUGCAGCGCUCAUCUCGCUUUCAGGCUGAGGGAGCCGGCGUUUGUCCACAGCUUUCCGGGUCGUGUGGCUAGCAUGACUAAACCACUUCUGGUGCAACAGGACACUGUGUCGGAAGACAGAGCGCACAGAAACGCCAUUUACCUUCCUGCCUCAGCGAUACCUAUUUAUCUACUUGCACUUGACGUGCUUUCGAACUGCUAGGUUGGCAGGAGCUGGGCCAGAGCAACAGGAGCUCACCCCAUCGUGAGGAUUCAAACCGGUGACCUUCCAAUCAGCAAGCCCAAGAGGCUCAGUGGUUUUGACCACAGCGCCAUCGACGUCACUACCAAGUAUGAAACAGUUCCAACUCUUUUUACACGAUACAGUUUUAUUUGCUUUCACACAUGCCAUUGUUUUCGGUAUGAAAUUCCUUCAAUUUAUUUUUCAUUUGUUUCUGUUUCUGUUGCUAUAUUGCUUUGGUAUACAGUAGUACCUCGGGUUACAUACGCUUCAGGUUACAGACUCCGCUAACCCAGAAACAGUGCUUCAGGUUAAGAACUUUGCUUCAGGAUGAGAACAGAAAUCGUGCUCCGGUGGCGCGGCAGCAGCAGGAGGCCCCAUUAGCUAAAGUGGUGCUUCAGGUUAAGAACAGUUUCAGGUUAAGAACAGACCUCCAGAACAAAUUAAGUACUUAACCUGAGGUACCACUGUAUUGUAUAAGAAGUGAACUGUAUGCAAAAAUAGCAGCAAAGUUUUGAAAAUAAUAUCCUCAAUGCCUGAGCCCAACAGGUCCCUCUUUUACCAUGGAAUUCUAUGCAUGCUUACUUGGAAUAAAUCCUGUUGAGUUCCUUUCAAAGUAAAUGGGAUUUCUUUCUUAGCAAAUGACAGGCACAAAAUGACAAGCCUGGAAACUAGAUGCUUACAAAGGCCAGGCCACACCUCUCACAUCCUGCCAGCCAUUUGCCCACUUCUCCUACCCACCCGGCACCCAAGUGUGUUUUCUAAUUCCUUGCAAAAUCUGGGAUGAACAAGCCAGCAGUCAUCGUUCAGAUCACUCUUGGGAUACUGGUUGCAUUCAGGAAAUUGAUUCAUCCUAAACACCACAGGAGGCAUCAUAGACCUGGCAAUUCUUUGGUCUUUCUUUUGGUUUGCUUUCAAUUGUGUCUUGCUCUGAAUUUCCUCAUCCACUAGAGGCCACUUCUGCCUCGCUAAUAAGACAGCUCAUAAACCUUCUACGUUGGUCUCAUAGGCAGGGACUGCUUUCAGUAAAUUGCAUACUGUCCAACAUUUCUCCGAUGAAAAUAGGGAUGAUGAUAAUAAUAAUAAUAAUAAUAAUAAUAAUAUCCUACCCAUCUGAUUGGGUUGCCCCAGCCACUCUGGGCAGCUUCCAACACUUAUAAAAACAUAAUAAAGCAUUAAACAACUUCCCAAUACAGGGCUGCCUCCAGAUAUGGUUGUGUAAUUACUUAUCUCCUUGGCACAUGACUCCAGACCCUCUGAUGAAAAUAGGGACGUCCUAAGGAAAAGCGGGAGAUUCUGGAAUCAAACUGGAAACUGGGACGGCUUCUGUAAAUCCAGGACUGUCCCUGGAAAAUAGGGACACUUAGAGGGUCUGUGCCUAUCAUCCCCCCCCCCCCCCGCUUUCUAUCCUACCAUAUCCAGGACGACACAUUUGACGCCAUGUGCAAUUUGAUGCUCAGAAGCAAUUUACUUCCAGUUUCUGGCUGUUAAAAGAAGAAGAAGAGUUUGGAUUUGAUAUCCCGCUUUAUCACUACCCGAAGGAGUCUCAAAGUGGCUAACAUUCUCCUUUCCCUUCCUCCCCCACAACAAACACUCUGUGAGGUGAGUGGGGCUGAGAGACUUCAGAGAAGGGUGAUUGACCCAAGGUCACCCAGCAGCUGCAUGUGGAGGAGUGGAGACGCAAACCUGGUUCACCAAAUUAUGAGUCUACGGCUCCUAAUCACUACACCACACUGGCUCUCUAUGAGGUGUAUAGGAACCUUGUCCUGCAGAUGCCCACCUUUCACGUCUAUCACAGCGAUGCAGAAUGGAAGCGCACAUGUUUUCAUGGGCCAGUGCAAUGGGGCUGCCCCAUUUUGUGGGGUGGUGGAGUGAAAUAGCAGGAACUUUAAUCUGGAAACACCCUUGGGCUGAGAUGGUCAAUUGGCUGGUCAGAUAUCGCUGACUGGUCUGUCUAUGAUUUCACAAGCUUUGACUGUGGUCAAAUAUUCCAGGAAGCCAAGGCAGGCCUUGUGUAGGUGUCAGACUCCAUCCUUAAUUGCAUCACCAGAUCACCUGACUGUAAUGUCAGGAAUGUGGUCUCCUUGCUCUUGCAAGAUUCAGGCUUGAUUCACCACACAUAUGCUCACCUUUCCUUUUUGAGGAGCAGGAGCUUCUUGGCACUUUAUGCUACAAUAAAGACAUUAAUCAUUGAUCUUCUUUGUAUUUUAUACUUGUCGCAUGUUUCUUGUUUCAUUGAAUUUUUUUAAAAUGUUGCUAAUUGUUUGUGGCUUUCCCUGGGAUCCCGUGAUAAAGAUCAGGAGCUGUUCAAUCUCUGGAACUCAGUUAAAUAUUGCAGAUGGUGUCUAAUGAGAAAAGAAACCCUCACAACAGUCUACUAAGAAAAUUGAACAAAACCCAUAGGUUUUGUCUUGCUUACUUCAGGUCUUGGACAUAGCAGGAGGAAUCCCAACCAAACAUAUGGAGAAGAACUCCUUCAGAACUACACAGCCAAUCAGAGUACAUGCUACCUCGGUAGAGAUCAUGUGAUUCUGCCUGGUUGCUAGGCAAUACCUCACCCCGUUUAGCCGACUUGCUGAUAACAGAAUUAACCCUUACGUUACAAACUGAAUGAUUGCUGCUGUCACACUUCUAACAGUUCCCAGGGAUUUAUAUUUGCGUAACAUUGUUAUAAAUACUAAUGGAUUACGCCUGUUUAGAAUGUAACCUCAUUGGCUUAUGACACCUUUUUAAAUUUUUUUUAUUAAUUUGCAUAAUCUUUUCAUGGGGAUCAUUCUAAUAAAUGAAUUCCUUUAAGCCUGAGCCAGAACAACAUGAGAAGACAUUGCAUGGGCAAAUCCCAUCUUCCAUUGGAUGAUGUGAUGUCAUUGGGAUGCCUAUGUGAUCCCUGAUUGGCUGGAAGUCAGCAUCAUCUCAGUUAGAAGCCAGUGAUGCUGUUUUUUUAAAAAUAACACCACGGAUGCAGCUCAGAGAAAGAAGCAGCUGGGAGCGGCAUGCAAAGAAUGAAAAUUUUGGUUCUUGAAUACCUAAGGUAAAGGGUAAAGGGACCCCUGACCAUUGGGUCCAGUCGUGGCCGACUCUGGGGUUGUGGCGCUCAUCUCGUUUUAUUGGCCAAGGGAGCCGGCGUACAGCUUCCAGGUCAUGUGGCCAGCAUGACUAAGCCGCUUCUGGUGAACCAGAGCAGUGCACAAAGCGCCGUUUACCUUCCCACCAGAGCAAUACCUAUUUAUCUACUUGCACUUGACGUGCUUUCGAACUACUAGGUUGGCAGGAGCAGGGACCGAGCAACGGGGGCUCACCCCGUUGUGGGGAUUCGAACCGCCGACCUUCUGAUCGGCAAGUCCUAGGCUCUGUGGUUUAACCCACAGUGCCACCCGCGUCCCAGUUCUUGAAUACCUACCCCCCCCAAAAAAAGAGAGAUCCAGUGUGUUGUAGUGAUCAGAGUGUUGGACUAGGAUCUGGGAGAUCAGGCUUCAAAUCUCCACUCCACCAUGAGGCUCAUGGAAUGACCUUAGGCCCGUCACUGUCUCUCAGCCACUCCUACCUCACAGGGUUGCUGUGGGGCUUAAAUGAGGAGGGGAGGAGAACUAUGAGCUCCUAGGAGGGGGGGGAGGGGGAUAUAAAUGCAACAAGUAAAUAAAUAAUAAUAAAAUACUUUGGUGAAGCCCUAAAUUCUUUAACCAUGUGGCCACUGUUUGGCAAUGUUCGAUUGGUCCAUCGACCUAGUUAAUUUUCAAUGGUCAAAUGAUCAGCUCUGAUGCACCCUGCCCUGGGGACAAGGCAGUUCCUUCCAGGACACAGAAGCAUUACUAAGACUGGCAACCACGAGAUGCUUCCUUUCCACCUUGUUCGGUCACAUUUACACCAUACAUUUAAAAUGCAUGGAUUCUGCCCCCCCCCCGCAAAGAAUUCUAGGAACAAAUUUACAGACUGUUCCCUGUUGAAGGAGAAUUAUAUGAAGAUGAUGUAUAGAUGGUAUAUGACACCAGUGCAGUCAGGGAAAAUGUACAAAACUAGUUCAAAUAUAUGUUGAAAGUGUAAGGAAAAGGAGGGGACAUUUUAGCAUAUGUGGUGGGAUUGUAAUGUAAUUAAAAAUUUUUGGGAAAUGAUAUACAGUGAAUUGAAGAAAAUGUUCCACUUAACAUUUGUUAAAAAACCUGAAGCAUUUUUGUUAGGGAUCGUAGGGAAAGACCUGCCAAAAAAGUUGAAAAACAUCUUCAUGUGUGUGACAACAGCCGCAAGAGUCCUAAUAGCACAAGAAUGGAAGACUGAAGAAAUUCCAACUAAAGAAUCAUGGCAAGAGAAACUGAUGGACUACGCAGAACUGGCAAAAUUGACACAUAAGCUACGGGACAAGGAUAACUGUGACUUCAAAGAUGAAUGGGAACCCUUUACAAGGUAUCUGAAGACGCAACAAAAUGAAUUAGACUCUUUGGCAGGUUUUGAAUAAACACUCACAAACUCUUUAUUGACAAUAAUUAGUUAGAUAAUUUAAGGAUUUCUACAACUUUGUAACGUGCAGAGAAUAGCAUUUACAGAGAAACCAAAGAUUGGAACUGAGGGAAGUCGGGGUGGGUUUCGUAUGGGGGGGGGGGAGGAAAAUGGGAAAAAACUAAGGAUGAUGUAUUUUUUGAUAUUAUGUUUUGUUUAAAUUUCUAAUAAAAUAUUAUUUAAAAAAAGAAUUCUAGGAACUGUAGUUUGUUAAAAGUGCUGGGGAGCUGUAGCUCGCGCGGGGGGGGGGGGUAAACUACAGUUCCCAAGAUUCCUUAGGGGAAGCCAUGUGCUUUAAGCGUAAGAUGUGGACGUGGACCUCCCCUCCAACGCACUGUCCCCAGCUUGCAAAAUGACCAGCCGCUUCCUUUGCAAUGUACCUGCCUUCCAACAAGCAGGAAUUUACCCGGGACCUUUUGCAGGCAAACCUGAUGCUCUGUCGUGGCGCUACCGCCCAUCCCGUGCUCCCCGCACCUCCCUUAUUUCCCUCGGCUCUCUCUUCAAAACCCACAAUUUCCGUGAAGCCUUGGGCGCAGCUCCUUAAUCCCCGUCCGCAGCUGGAACGAAGUACGUGCAACUGACAAACCCCUGCAUUUCCCCGCUCCCUCACGUUCUGAUCUAGACUGUAAGAUUAUCAGGGCAGGGACCUGCCGUCCUCUUGCAUGUUUGCAAAGCAUCGUUCACGUUGAUGGCACUGCGCUGUGGGGAGGAUCAAGGCUGGAACGCAACCCCACCAACCCCCUGGAAAAGUCACGAUCUGCACCCCUCCCCAACCCCAGUUUCUCUAACUUCAUUGGGUUCUGUUCCUGCAUUUCCAAGCAUAUUUCUGCAACCCUGCGGGCUCAAAGAUUUGGCAAAGGCUCGGAUUACGCCUGGCAUUGAGCCCACAAUUGGCCCUUAGGAUUUUUUGGUUCUUAAAUAGCAGACCCUCCAAGUGCCCCUAUUUUCCAUUUAGAGAAAGCCGUCCCGGUUUCGGAUUUGAUCCUGGAAUGUCCCACUUUUCCUUAAGACACCCCUAUUUUCAUUGGAGAAAUGUUGGAGAGUAUGGUAGGAUGUCCCUAUUUUCAUCGGAGAAAUGUUGGAGGGUAUGGAGUUAUCCAAACCCCAAGCUGUCUGAAGGCAAUCCUGUCUAGGGAAGGGUUUUUUAAAAAAUAAAAAUAAAAAAUGCUUUAUUGUGUUUUUACAUACAGCGGUAUCAUGGGUUACAUAUGCUUCAGGUUACAUACGCUUCAGGUUACAGACUCCGCUAACCCAGAAAUAGUGCUUCAGGUUAAGAACUUUGCUUCAGGAUGAGAACACAAAUCGUGCUCUGGCGGUGCGGUGGCAGCAGGAGGCCCCAUUAGCUAAAGUGGUGCUUCAGGUUAAGAACAGUUUCAGGUUAAGUACGGACCUCCGGAACGAAUUACUGUAAGUACUUAACCCGAGGUACCACUGUAUGUUGGAAGCCGCCCAGAGUGGCUGGGGCAACCCAGUAAGAUGUGUGGAGUAUAAACAGUAAAAUUAUCAUUAUGGAAUGGGACGUCCCUAUUUUCAUUGGAGAAAUGUUGAAGGGUAUGAAAUAGCAACCUAGAGGGGAAAUUUAGAUCAGGUCCACUGCAUGGGGGAUGAGAGGGAUUUAAUCCUUGCCCCUAUUGCCAACCUGAUCUGGAUUUCCUGAGCCCCAUAGCUGGCAUUUGCUCCCAGGAGAAACUGGUGCGACCGAUCUGAACAGGUUCUGAUGCUUGCAUUUACAGCAACUGCUUUUACAUAACCCAGGCUUCAUGCUCCCUUUCCCACCGUAGUGUUGAGCCUCUGCUGAUCAACAGCUCCCAGCUCCACCAUGCAUAACCCUCCUUCCGUCUGCUCCAGAUUCUUCCCCUGUGUAAUUUUCCCUGCGUCACUCGACAAAGCUAUGAUUUGCCAGGGAGUACUGAGUGUGGCGUAGCAAACAGGGUGAUUAUGUGGCCUACUUUACAAAGGGCAAGCUCUCUGUUGGAAGGGUUCUGCAAUAAAGAUAGACAUUCAGAAGAGAACAAGGACCUUAAAAGCUGUCAGUCAAUGAUACCUGGGAUAAACAUGUGCUCACAGGUGCCCUGGCCCUUAAUCAGUAUGGGUACCAAUUGAUAAGAGUCUUGAAUUUGAAUGAUUGUUCAAUCCAUGUCCAAAUUAAAGACAAUGGAUCCCAAACCCUCUAACAUCUCUCUGAUGAAAAUAGGGACAUCCUAGGGGACGCGGGUGGCGCUGUGGGUUAAACCACAGAGCCUAGGACUUGCUGAUCGGAAGGUUGGCGGUUUGAAUCCCCGCAACGGGGUGAGCUCCCAUUGCUCAGUCCCUGCUCCUGCCAACCUAGCAGUUCAAAAGCACGUCAAAGUGCAAGUAGAUAAAUAGGUACCGCUCCGGCGGGAAGGUAAACGGCGUUUCCAUGCACUGCUCCGGUUGGCCAGAAGCGGCUUAGUCAUGCUGGCCACAUGACCCGGAAGCUGUACGCCGGCUCCCUCGGCCAAUAAAGCGAGAUGAGCGCCGCAACCCCAGAGUCGACCUAAUGGUCAGGGGUCCCUUUACCUUUACCUUUUACUUCAUCAUCACUUGGAGUGUCCGGCAUAAGGACCAGCAGGUAUUAUGUGAUAUGAUAUGAGCCUGGAGAGCCGGGGUUUGCUGGGAGGGUGGGAGAGAAGGCCAUGGAAGCUUUGAAGGUAGUCAGUGCCAAGAUUUAAGGAGAAGCAGGAGACAUUAGGAGGAAGGGAGAAAACCGGGGUAUCGGUUUUAUUUGCUUUGCACAAUUCUGCCUCCCUUGGCACACAAUGUGGAUUGACCCAUGGAUCUUGUAGCGCAGGGAAUAAUCAUCUCUGCCUAUGGCACACCUUUGGAGUGCGGCUGGAUGCCCUGGCAACAGUCUCGCCAUCUCUUUCCGAGGCUUGGCCUUUGGGAAUUUGUUGCCACUGCUGUUCUUGCCCGUUUUGUUGUGUUGCCACGUCCGAGCCAAUGUAUCCAGCAGAAGGCCUUGGAUUGUGCGUGCGUGCAUGAGUGUGCGUGUGUGUGUUUCGGUGUGCGCGCAUGCAUCUGUGAGCCGCUGGAACAUCUCGCAAGCACAUUUCUCCCUCAGAAAGGGGUUAUUUUAGUUCCUCGCCACCCACGGCGGAUGAUGUCAAGCGCAUCAGCCAGGAUGCUGGACAAACUUCUUUUUAAAGAUAGAUCGGGGAUGGGUUGUGUAGGCUGUUGCCAAGUGCAUUUUAGAGCUGGAUUGUUACCACAGGUAGCAGCAAGUCCUGAAGGGAAAGAGAACGCCAAAGAUUUAUGGGGCUCCAGAAUAUUUUUCCAAAGCAGCAGCAGCAGAGGCAGUGUCUCCCUUCCUCCCUCCCUCCGUGUGUAUUCAUUCAUUCAGAUUUCCUCGCUUAUAAAAUGAAACCAAAAUUGGCAUUUAAUACAAUAUCUGGCAACAGUAUCUCCCCACUCUGCUAACUACCUGAGAUUCCUUUUUUAAAGGAGUUGCUUAAACUUGGCAGCAGUGCUUUUUUUUCUUGGGGGGUGUGUAUGCAGGGGUACGCAUACCCCUAAACAUUUUGUGAAUCUUUCUACAGUGGUACCUCGGGUUACAUACGCUUCAGGUUACAUACGCUUCAGGUUACAGACUCUGCUAAACCAGAAAUAGUACCUUGUGUUAAGAACUUUGCUUCAGGAUGAGAACAGAAAUCGUGCUCUGGCGGCGCGGCGGCAGCAGGAGGCCCCAUUAGCUAAAGUGAUGCUUCAGGUUAAGAACAGUUUCAGGCUAAGAACGGACCUCCGGAACGAAUUCAGUACUUAACCCGAGGUACCACUGUAUUUGGGUUAGUAGUGGUGUUAUUAUCAGAGGCUGAUUUAGGGGAGCGUGACUGAUUCUCCAGCACUGGGCGCCAUAACAAUGACUUACAACGGAAGGAGAAAGGCGGGGGACGGGAGGUGCCAAAGUUUGGUGUUGCACAGGACCCUGCUAAAAUUUGAAAGCACAAAGUCUGCCACUGGUUAUUAUGCUCCUAGUGAUUAGAUUGAAUUUGUCUAAAUAGGUCAGGCAUUGUUGUUAUUAUGGAGUUGGAAGGGUUCUGCAAUACAGACAUUCAGAAGAGAACAAAGACCUUAAAAGUUAAGGUUUAGCCCCAUUAGCUAAAGUGAUGCUUCAGGUUAAGAACAGUUUCAGGUUAAGAACGGACCUCCAGAAC